rnacentral:rRNA from 1 species
GAGUUUGAUCCUGGCUCAGAACGAACGCUGGCGGCAGGCCUAACACAUGCAAGUCGAACGCUGUAGCAAUACAGAGUGGCGCACGGGUGCGUAACGCGUGGGAAUAUGCCCUUGACUGCGGAACAACAUCGGGAAACUGAUGCUAAUACCGCAUAAUGUCUUCGGACCAAAGAUUUAUCGGUCAAGGAUUAGCCCGCGUCUGAUUAGCUAGUUGGUGAGGUAACGGCUCACCAAGGCGACGAUCAGUAGCUGGUCUGAGAGGAUGAUCAGCCACACUGGGACUGAGACACGGCCCAGACUCCUACGGGAGGCAGCAGUAGGGAAUAUUGGACAAUGGGCGAAAGCCUGAUCCAGCCAUGCCGCGUGUGUGAAGAAGGUCUUCGGAUUGUAAAGCACUUUAAGUUGGGAGGAAGGGCAGUAAGUUAAUACCUUGCUGUUUUGACGUUACCGACAGAAUAAGCACCGGCUAACUCUGUGCCAGCCGCCGCCGUAAC